GAUGAACGCUAGCGAUAGGCUUAACACAUGCAAGUCGAGGGGCAGCAUGGUCUUAGCUUGCUAAGACUGAUGGCGACCGGCGCACGGGUGCGUAACGCGUAUGCAACUUGCCUCACAGAGGGGGAUAACCCGUCGAAAGACGGACUAAUACCGCGUACACUCCAUCUUGGGCAUCCAAGGUAGAGGAAAUGAAAUUCGCUGUGAGAUAGGCAUGCGUCCCAUUAGCUAGUUGGUGAGGUAACGGCUCACCAAGGCGACGAUGGGUAGGGGAACUGAGAGGUUGAACCCCCACACUGGUACUGAGACACGGACCAGACUCCUACGGGAGGCAGCAGUGAGGAAUAUUGGUCAAUGGGCGAGAGCCUGAACCAGCCAAGUCGCGUGAAGGAUGACUGUCUUAUGGAUUGUAAACUUCUUUUAUACGGGAAUAACAAGAGUCACGUGUGACUCCCUGCUUGUACCGUAUGAAUAAGCAUCGGCUAACUCCGUG
rnacentral:rRNA from 1 species